CCUCCAGCUGUUUUGGGACUACAAUUCCCACCAUCCCUGACCACUGGUCCUGUUAGCUAGAGAUGAAGGGAGUUGUAGUCCCAAAACAGCUGGAGG